AUUUGAGUUUUAAAAUCCAUUAAAAAGGUACAAUAUCAGUCUCACCCUUAAACCUAAGUUAAUCUCGCAUCCUUUAACACCGCCUUCCUCGGCCACCAUUGCACCAGCCACCAGCUCUAUCAUCUACCAUCGGCUCCCUAUUUAACCUUGAAUCAAACUUGACCCAAACAUUACCCUCAAAUACGGUGACGUAAACAUCAUCCAGUUUCUUCCUGUGUGGACAAUAUCUAUCAUCACCAGUAGCACCCCUGCCGACGACCUUCACGAUUUCAGGGAUUUGUAGAGAGAGGAUUACAAAUCGGGGGUUUGGGAAGGUGAUAAUUAUUCUUCAUAAAUGAAUUUAUGCUACUCUACUACUGUUUUCACAGGUAAUUCCGUAAUGGUGAAAUGAUUGAAUAAAGCGGGUCAAUGGGAAGAUGAUGGCUAAAAAUCGGCUCAGAAUGCUCUCCGCUUAGUUGGGUCAAAAGAAUAUCUUUAGGAGUCGGGUUUGAAACACUAUGCUAAGCUUCGAUCCCCAGCACUCUUUCACUCUUCAGUUGUGUCAAUUAUGUCUCCCCUACAAUACGAACUAUGCCAAACUCAUCAUCUUCUUUUUCCUUAUUUCUGGAGGUAAGAAUUUCCAUCGGAUUUUCUCUUUUUGUUCUGUCUCUUAUUCUCUUACCUUAUUUUCACAUCCAACAUUGUUUUUUUUAGUUUUGUAUGUAUUUCUGUCAAUGGUUGUGGUUCUCCAAGAUCUACAUAUUCAGUUAUAAAAUCCAUAAAGAAAGUAUUUCAAGAAGUCAAACAAGACUUAAAGUUCAAAGAAAGUUUUAAAUCCAUCCAAGUUGAUUUUUUUUGUUUCCUAGAAUGAUGAUGGAUAAAUGGAAUCUAGAAAUGUGGUUCUUUGAUCUCCCGGGUUUUCAGUCAUAUAAAGUUUUAUAUAUGUACUUUCUGUAUCAAGAUUCUUGACCUGGUUUAGAGAUUUGAAUGUUACCAAGCUUUUCUAUAUCAUAAAGCUUGACCUAGGGUUGGUAUAAUAUUAUUGUAAUUCAUAUAUUUAUUUUUAGAGUAUUAUAACAUAGAUGAAGAUUUUCCUGAUUUAGAAAGAUACAAAUGUAAAAUUUGAUAACGAGGCAAUUGACUUUCUUUAUUUAUGUUA